CUACUAAAUUAAUUGAAACAUCUUAUUAGUUUAAGGAAUAGAAAUCAAACGAGAUUUCAUUAGUAGUGGCGAGCGAAAAUGAAUUAGAGUACAUACAAUAAAAAAGUUAAAUAAUUUGAAAUAAUUAACUAUAAAAGGUUAAAGUCCUGUAAGCUUUUGCGUAUAUUUGUAGUAGAAGAGAUUUCGAGGAGAUCUCUUUGAAUAUUGGAGGACCAUACUUCAAACUCUAAAUAUCUUCAUAUGACCGAUAGAAUAAAGUACUGUGAAGGAAAGAUGAAAAGAAUUCUUAGAUGGAAGUGAAAA
rnacentral:rRNA from 11 species